UACAGAGGGUGCGAGCGUUGUCCGGAAUCACUGGGCGUAAAGGGCGCGUAGGCGGCUUGAUAAGCGUGCGGUGAAAGCCCGGGGCUCAACCCCGGGUCGGCCGUGCGAACUGUCGAGCUGGAGCACUGUAGAGGCAGGUGGAAUUCCGGGUGUAGCGGUGGAAUGCGUAGAGAUCCGGAAGAACACCGGCGGCGAAGGCGGCUCACUGGUCCGAUACUGACGCUGAGGUGCGAAAGCGUGGGGAGCAAACAGG
rnacentral:rRNA from 1 species